GCCUGGCACGGUGGUGCUUGCCUGUAGUCCCAGCUACUCCAGAGGCUGAGGUGGGAGGAUUGCUUGAGCCCGAUUGGGUGUCUGUACUAAGUUUGGCAUCAAUAUGGUGACCUCCUGAGAGCAGGACACCACCAGGUUGCCUAAGGAGGGGUGAACCAGCCCAGGUCAGAAACGGAGCAGGUCAAAACUCCUGCGCUGAUCAGUAGUGGGAUCGCGCCUGUGAAUAGCCACUGCAUUUCAGCCUGGGCAACAUAGUGAGACCCCGUCUCUU
ensembl:misc_RNA Metazoa_SRP Metazoan signal recognition particle RNA